rnacentral:rRNA from 1 species
UACGUAGGGUGCGAGCGUUAAUCGGAAUUACUGGGCGUAAAGCGUGCGCAGGCGGUUAUGCAAGACAGGUGUGAAAUCCCCGGGCUCAACCUGGGAACUGCAUUUGUGACUGCAAGGCUAGAGUACGGCAGAGGGGGAUGGAAUUCCGCGUGUAGCAGUGAAAUGCGUAGAUAUGCGGAGGAACACCAAUGGCGAAGGCAAUCCCCUGGACCUGUACUGACGCUCAUGCACGAAAGCGUGGGGAGCAAACAGG